AUUGAACGCUGGCGGCAGGCCUAACACAUGCAAGUCGAACGAGUGGCGGACGGGUGAGUAAUGUAUGGGAAACUGCCUGAUGGAGGGGGCUAACUACUGGAAACGGUAGAUAAUACCGCAUACCCACAGAUGUGCCCAGAUGGGUUGGGCUUGUUGGUGGGGUAACGGCUCACCAAGGCGACGAUCCCUAGCUGGUCUGAGAGGAUGACCAGCCAUACUGGACCUGAGACACGGUCCAGACUCCUACGGGAGGCAGCAGUGGGGAAUCUUGCACAAUGGUCGAAAGCCUGAUGCAGCCAUGCCGCGUGUAUGAAGAAGGCCUUCGGGUUGUAAAGUACUUUCAGCGGGGAGGCGUUACCCGCAGAAGAAGCACCGGCUAACUCCGUGCCAGCAGCCGCGGUAAUUC
rnacentral:rRNA from 1 species